rnacentral:rRNA from 1 species
AUUGAACGCUGGCGGCAGGCCUAACACAUGCAAGUCGAGCGGAGCGGCGGACGGGUGAGUACUGCCUAGGACUCUGCCUGGUAGUGGGGGAUAACGUCCGGAACCAGGCGCUAAUACCUCAUCCUAUCAGAUUAGCCUAGGUCGGUGUAGCUAGUUGGUGGGGUAAAGGCAUACCAAGGCGACGAUCCGGAACUGGUCUGAGAGGAUGACCAGCCACACGGGAACUGAGACACGGUCCAGACUCCUACGGGAGGAAGCAGUGGGGAAUAUUGCACAAUGGGCGCAAGCCUGAUGCAGCCAUGCCGCGUGUAUGAAGAAGGCCUUCGGGUUGUAAAGUACUUUCAGCGGGGAGGCGUUACCCGCAGAAGAAGCACCGGCUAACUCCGUGCCAGCAGCCGCGGUAAUAC